rnacentral:rRNA from 1 species
AUGCGAGCUUGGCCCACUCCUACCAAUCCAACGGAGCUUCGCGGUUUCCUCGGCCUCACAGGCUACUACCGCAAAUUCGUCUCUCGCUAUGGAAUCAUUGCCAAGCCACUCACUCAGCUGCUCACCAAGAAGGGCUUCAAGUGGUCGGAGCAAGCCCAAGCCGCGUUCGAGCUCCUCAAGAGUGCCAUGGCUAAUACCCCUGUACUGGCCUUGCCCGAUUUCACUCGCCCAUUCUCAAUAGAGACAGAUGCGUGUGACACGGGCGUGGGAGCGGUGCUCGUCCACGACGGCCACCCAAUUGCCUAUCUCAGCAAAGCGCUCGGUGUCCGCAACCAGCGACUGUCAAUUUACGAGAAGGAAUUCCUUGCAGUGAUGAUGGCAGUGGAAAAAUGGAGGCCCUAUCUGCAGCGUGCGCCGUUCGUCAUUGUCACGGAUCACAAGAGCUUGUGCCACCUCGGCGAUCAGCUGCUGGAAACAGAGUUGCAGCGCAAAGCCAUGUCCAAAAUGGUGGGGCUAUAG